rnacentral:rRNA from 1 species
AUCGUAAACGAAGAGAGUUGGAAAGCUCCGCUAUAAAGUGUAAUAGCCACGUAGUUGAAACGAGAAGACUUUAGAUGUGAUCCAGAGUACCACGGGACACGUGAAACCCUGUGGGAAGCAGGAGGGACCAUCCUCCAAGGCUAAAUACUACUUAGUGACCGAUAGCGCAUAGUACCGUGAGGGAAAGGUGAAAAGAACCCCGGGAGGGGAGUGAAAUAGAACCUGAAACCCUGCGCUUACAAGCUGUGGAAGCACUUUAUAUGUGUGACCGCGUACUUUUUGUAGAACGGGCCAACGAGUUACGAUAGUAAGCUAGGUUAAGUACUUAAGGUAUGGAGCCGUAGUGAAAGCGAGUCUUAAAUGGGCGUUAAGUUUGCUGUCGUAGACCCGAAACCGAGCGACCUAUCCAUGAGCAGGAUGAAGCGAAAGUAAAAUUUCGUGGAGGUCCGAACCCACGAGCGUUGAAAAGCUCGGGGAUGACUUGUGGAUAGCGGUGAAAUUCCAAUCGAGCUCGGAGAUAGCUGGUUCUCCCCGAAAUAGCUUUAGGGCUAGCCUCAAGGUUGAGAAAUACGGAGGUAGAGCACUGAAUAUCCUAGGGGGCAUUGCGCUUACCGAAGAUUAUCAAACUCCGAAUGCCGUUAUUUUAUACUUGGGAGUCAGACUGUGGGUAAUAAGAUUCAUAGUCGAGAGGGCAACAGCCCAGAUCGUCAGCUAAGGUCCCUAAAUGUAAGUUAAGUGGUAAAGGAUGUGGGAUUGCAUAGACAACCAGGAUGUUGGCUUAGAAGCAGCCACUCAUUUAAAGAGUGCGUAAUAGCUCACUGGUCGAGUGAUCCUGCGCCGAAGAUUACCGGGGCUAAAACUUACUACCGAAGCUACGAUAUCAUUUAUGAUAGGUAGGGGAGCUUCCUAUGCAGGCUGAAGCAUGACCGUAAGGACGUGUGGACAGUAUAGGAGUGAGAAUGUUGGCAUGAGUAGCGAGACGUGGGUGAGAAUCCCACGGGCCGUAAACCCAAGGUUUCCAGGGGAAGGUUCGUCCGCCCUGGGUUAGUCGGGACCUAAGCCGAGGCCGAAAGGCGUAGGUGAUGGACAACAGGUUGAGAUUCCUGUACCACCGAUAAUCGUUUGAGAGAUGGAAUGACACAGUAGGAUAAGCUAACCACACUGUUGGUUAUGUGUGGCUAAGUACUGAGGCAGUCAAGGCAGGCAAAUCCGCCAUGAUAAUGCUGGGGUACGAUGGGGAGCGAAAUUAAGUAGCGAAGUAGCUGAUUUCACACUGUCGAGAAAAGUUUCUAUCGAGAUUAAAGGUGCCCGUACCGCAAACCGACACAGGUGGGUGAGGAGAGUAUCCUAAGGCCAGCGAGAGAACUGUUGUUAAGGAACUCGGCAAAAUGACCCCGUAACUUAGGGAGAAGGGGUGCCACGUUAGGGUUAACGCCCGAGGUGGCCGCAGAGAAUAGGCCCAAGCGACUGUUUACCAAAAACACAGGUUUCUGCUAAGUCGCAAGACGAUGUAUAGGAGCUGACGCCUGCCCGGUGCUGGAAGGUUAAGGGGAUCUGUUAGGAUUUAUCCGAAGCAGUGAACUUAAGCCCCAGUAAACGGCGGCCGUAACUAUAACGGUCCUAAGGUAGCGAAAUUCCUUGUCGGGUAAGUUCCGACCCGCACGAAAGGCGUAACGAUUUGGGCACUGUCUCAACAACAGACUCGGUGAAAUUGUAAUCCCGGUGAAGAUGCCGGGUACCUGCGACAGGACGGAAAGACCCCAUGGAGCUUUACUGUAGCUUGACAUUGAAUUUUGGUGCUACAUGUACAGGAUAGGUGGGAGGCUAUGAAAUC